rnacentral:misc_RNA from 1 species
GAAACGCGAUAGUUAAUGUGAAUUGCAGAAUUCAGUGAAUCAUCGAGUCUUUGAACGCACAUUGCGCCCAUAGGUAUUCCUUUGGGCAUGUCUGUUUGAGCGUCAUUACAACCCUCAGCUAACCGCUGGUUUUGAACCGGAACGGGUGACACCGCGCCGGUUUUAAAGUUGUAAGCUCUGCUGGCCGCUCUGCCCAACCAGAACAUAGUAAGCACUACUUGUCCGGGUGAAGCUGAACGGUACGGCCUGAACAAAACCUACCCACUCUCAAGGUUUGACCUCAGAUCAGACAAGGAUACCCGCUGAACUUAAGC